rnacentral:rRNA from 1 species
GGUUAAGCGACUAAGCGUACACGGUGGAUGCCCUGGCAGUCAGAGGCGAUGAAGGACGUGCUAAUCUGCGAUAAGCGUCGGUAAGGUGAUAUGAACCGUUAUAACCGGCGAUUUCCGAAUGGGGAAACCCAGUGUGUUUCGACACACUAUCAUUAACUGAAUCCAUAGGUUAAUGAGGCGAACCGGGGGAACUGAAACAUCUAAGUACCCCGAGGAAAAGAAAUCAACCGAGAUUCCCCCAGUAGCGGCGAGCGAACGGGGAGCAGCCCAGAGCCUGAAUCAGUGUGUGUGUUAGUGGAAGCGUCUGGAAAGGCGCGCGAUACAGGGUGACAGCCCCGUACACAAAAAUGCACAUGCUGUGAGCUCGAUGAGUAGGGCGGGACACGUGGUAUCCUGUCUGAAUAUGGGGGGACCAUCCUCCAAGGCUAAAUACUCCUGACUGACCGAUAGUGAACCAGUACCGUGAGGGAAAGGCGAAAAGAACCCCGGCGAGGGGAGUGAAAAAGAACCUGAAACCGUGUACGUACAAGCAGUGGGAGCACGCUUCGGCGUGUGACUGCGUACCUUUUGUAUAAUGGGUCAGCGACUUAUAUUCUGUAGCAAGGUUAACCGAAUAGGGGAGCCGAAGGGAAACCGAGUCUUAACUGGGCGUUAAGUUGCAGGGUAUAGACCCGAAACCCGGUGAUCUAGCCAUGGGCAGGUUGAAGGUUGGGUAACACUAACUGGAGGACCGAACCGACUAAUGUUGAAAAAUUAGCGGAUGACUUGUGGCUGGGGGUGAAAGGCCAAUCAAACCGGGAGAUAGCUGGUUCUCCCCGAAAGCUAUUUAGGUAGCGCCUCGUGAAUUCAUCUCCGGGGGUAGAGCACUGUUUCGGCAAGGGGGUCAUCCCGACUUACCAACCCGAUGCAAACUGCGAAUACCGGAGAAUGUUAUCACGGGAGACACACGGCGGGUGCUAACGUCCGUCGUGAAGAGGGAAACAACCCAGACCGCCAGCUAAGGUCCCAAAGUCAUGGUUAAGUGGGAAACGAUGUGGGAAGGCCCAGACAGCCAGGAUGUUGGCUUAGAAGCAGCCAUCAUUUAAAGAAAGCGUAAUAGCUCACUGGUCGAGUCGGCCUGCGCGGAAGAUGUAACGGGGCUAAACCAUGCACCGAAGCUGCGGCAGCGACACUAUGUGUUGUUGGGUAGGGGAGCGUUCUGUAAGCCUGUGAAGGUGUGCUGUGAGGCAUGCUGGAGGUAUCAGAAGUGCGAAUGCUGACAUAAGUAACGAUAAAGCGGGUGAAAAGCCCGCUCGCCGGAAGACCAAGGGUUCCUGUCCAACGUUAAUCGGGGCAGGGUGAGUCGACCCCUAAGGCGAGGCCGAAAGGCGUAGUCGAUGGGAAACAGGUUAAUAUUCCUGUACUUGGUGUUACUGCGAAGGGGGGACGGAGAAGGCUAUGUUGGCCGGGCGACGGUUGUCCCGGUUUAAGCGUGUAGGCUGGUUUUCCAGGCAAAUCCGGAAAAUCAAGGCUGAGGCGUGAUGACGAGGCACUACGGUGCUGAAGCAACAAAUGCCCUGCUUCCAGGAAAAGCCUCUAAGCAUCAGGUAACAUCAAAUCGUACCCCAAACCGACACAGGUGGUCAGGUAGAGAAUACCAAGGCGCUUGAGAGAACUCGGGUGAAGGAACUAGGCAAAAUGGUGCCGUAACUUCGGGAGAAGGCACGCUGAUAUGUAGGUGAAGUCCCUCGCGGAUGGAGCUGAAAUCAGUCGAAGAUACCAGCUGGCUGCAACUGUUUAUUAAAAACACAGCACUGUGCAAACACGAAAGUGGACGUAUACGGUGUGACGCCUGCCCGGUGCCGGAAGGUUAAUUGAUGGGGUAGCGCAAGCGAAGCUCUUGAUCGAAGCCCCGGUAAACGGCGGCCGUAACUAUAACGGUCCUAAGGUAGCGAAAUUCCUUGUCGGGUAAGUUCCGACCUGCACGAAUGGCGUAAUGAUGGCCAGGCUGUCUCCACCCGAGACUCAGUGAAAUUGAACUCGCUGUGAAGAUGCAGUGUACCCGCGGCAAGACGGAAAGACCCCGUGAACCUUUACUAUAGCUUGACACUGAACAUUGAGCCUUGAUGUGUAGGAUAGGUGGGAGGCUUUGAAGUGUAGACGCCAGUCUGCAUGGAGCCGACCUUGAAAUACCACCCUUUAAUGUUUGAUGUUCUAACGUUGACCCGUAAUCCGGGUUGCGGACAGUGUCUGGUGGGUAGUUUGACUGGGGCGGUCUCCUCCUAAAGAGUAACGGAGGAGCACGAAGGUUGGCUAAUCCUGGUCGGACAUCAGGAGGUUAGUGCAAUGGCAUAAGCCAGCUUGACUGCGAGCGUGACGGCGCGAGCAGGUGCGAAAGCAGGUCAUAGUGAUCCGGUGGUUCUGAAUGGAAGGGCCAUCGCUCAACGGAUAAAAGGUACUCCGGGGAUAACAGGCUGAUACCGCCCAAGAGUUCAUAUCGACGGCGGUGUUUGGCACCUCGAUGUCGGCUCAUCACAUCCUGGGGCUGAAGUAGGUCCCAAGGGUAUGGCUGUUCGCCAUUUAAAGUGGUACGCGAGCUGGGUUUAGAACGUCGUGAGACAGUUCGGUCCCUAUCUGCCGUGGGCGCUGGAGAACUGAGGGGGGCUGCUCCUAGUACGAGAGGACCGGAGUGGACGCAUCACUGGUGUUCGGGUUGUCAUGCCAAUGGCACUGCCCGGUAGCUAAAUGCGGAAGAGAUAAGUGCUGAAAGCAUCUAAGCACGAAACUUGCCCCGAGAUGAGUUCUCCCUGACCCUUUAAGGGUCCUGAAGGAACGUUGAAGACGACGACGUUGAUAGGCCGGGUGUGUAAGCGCAGCGAUGCGUUGAGCUAACCGGUACUAAUGAACCGUGAGGCUUAACCUU